AACGAACGCUGGCGGCAGGCUUAACACAUGCAAGUCGAACGCCCCGCAAGGGGAGUGGCAGACGGGUGAGUAACGCGUGGGAAUCUACCUAGUUCUACGGAACAACAGUUGGAAACGACUGCUAAUACCGUAUACGCCCUACGGGGGAAAGAUUUAUCGGAAUUAGAUGAGCCCGCGUAAGAUUAGCUAGUUGGUGAGGUAAUGGCUCACCAAGGCGACGAUCUUUAGCUGGUCUGAGAGGAUGAUCAGCCACACUGGGACUGAGACACGGCCCAGACUCCUACGGGAGGCAGCAGUGGGGAAUAUUGGACAAUGGGCGCAAGCCUGAUCCAGCCAUGCCGCGUGAGUGAUGAAGGCCUUAGGGUUGUAAAGCUCUUUCACCGAUGAAGAUAAUGACGGUAGUCGGAGAAGAAGCCCCGGCUAACUUCGUGCCAGCAGCCGCGGUAACAC
rnacentral:rRNA from 1 species